rnacentral:tRNA from 1 species
ACCUGGUAUGGCCGCGUCGGCAACGCGCAUUCCAUCGAACUCUUGCCAAACAAUCGAAUCGCGGUCGCCGGUUCGACUCACGAAUCCGGCAACCGGGUA